AUGGCUCAAGAUAACACUAAAUUGUGUGACUUUACCAAUACCAACAACAAUGAUUUUAUUAGCACUCCGAUUGCUCCUCUUACCGAUGUUGAAUCUUGUGAAAUUAAUGCUACCUUGCUGAAUCUUGUCAUGAAAGAUCCAUUUUCCGGCCUUCCUAGUGAAGAUGCUGCUACCCAUCUAAAUAGCUUCGUUGAUUUGUGUGAUAUGCAAAAGAAGAAAGAUGUUGAUAAUGAUAUUGUUAAAUUGAAGCUAUUUCCUUUUUCGCUUAGAGAUCGUGCUAAAGCUUGGUUUUCGUCUUUGCCUAAAAACAGUAUUGAUUCGUGGAAUAAGUGCAAAGAUGCUUUUAUCUCUAAGUAUUUUCCUCCCGCUAAGAUCAUCUCUCUUAGAAACGAUAUUAUGAAUUUUAAGCAACUUGAUCAUGAACAUGUUGCACAAGCUUGGGAGAGGAUGAAAUUAAUGGUAUGUAAUUGCCCAACACAUGGUUUGAAUUUGUGGAUGAUUAUACAAUUUUUUUAUGCCGGAUUGAAUUUUGCUUCUAGAAAUCUUUUAGAUUCGGCCGCGGGAGGCACUUUUAUGGAAAUCACUUUAGGAGAAGCUACUAAACUCCUAGAUAAUAUUAUGGUUAAUUAUUCUCAAUGGCACACUGAAAGAUCUACUAAUAAGAAAGUACAUGCGAUAGAAGAAAUUAAUGUUUUGAGUGGAAAGAUGGAUGAAUUUACGAAAUUAUUUGCUAAUAAAAGUGUUUCUUCUGAUCCUAAUGAUAUGCCUUUGUCUACUUUGAUAGAGAAUAAUAAUGAAUCUAUGGAUGUGAAUUUUUUUGGUAGGAACAAUUUUGGUAACAAUGCGUAUAGAGGAAACUUUAAUCCUAGGCCUUAUCCUAGUAAUUCCUCUAAUAAUUAUGGUAAUUCCUACAACAAUUCUUAUGGAAAUUAUAAUAAGAUGCCCUCUGAUUUUUAA
rnacentral:rRNA from 1 species